AGAGUUUGAUCCUGGCUCAGGACGAACGCUGGCGGCGUGCUUAACACAUGCAAGUCGAACGAAGAGCGAUGGAAGCUUGCUUCUAUCAAUCUUAGUGGCGAACGGGUGAGUAACGCGUAAUCAACCUGCCCUUCAGAGGGGGACAACAGUUGGAAACGACUGCUAAUACCGCAUACGAUCCAACCUCGGCAUCGAGGAUGGAUGAAAGGUGGCCUCUAUUUAUAAGCUAUCACUGAAGGAGGGGAUUGCGUCUGAUUAGCUAGUUGGAGGGGUAACGGCCCACCAAGGCGAUGAUCAGUAGCCGGUCUGAGAGGAUGAACGGCCACAUUGGGACUGAGACACGGCCCAGACUCCUACGGGAGGCAGCAGUAGGGAAUUUUCGGCAAUGGGGGAAACCCUGACCGAGCAACGCCGCGUGAGUGAUGACGGCCUUCGGGUUGUAAAGCUCUGUUGUAAGGGAAGAACGGUAGAUAGAGAAUAUCUAAAUGACGGUACCUUACCAGAAAGCCACGGCUAACUACGUGCCAGCAGCCGCGGUAAUACGUAGGUGGCGAGCGUUAUCCGGAAUUAUUGGGCGUAAAGGGUGCGUAGGCGGCCUGUUAAGUAAGUGGUUAAAUUGUUGGGCUCAACCCAAUCCAGCCACUUAAACUGGCAGGCUAGAGUAUUGGAGAGGCAAGUGGAAUUCCAUGUGUAGCGGUAAAAUGCGUAGAUAUAUGGAGGAACACCAGUGGCGAAGGCGGCUUGCUAGCCAAAGACUGACGCUCAUGCACGAAAGCGUGGGGAGCAAAUAGGAUUAGAUACCCUAGUAGUCCACGCCGUAAACGAUGAAUACUAAGUAUUGGGGAAACUCAGUGCUGCAGCUAACGCAAUAAGUAUUCCGCCUGUGGAGUAUGCACGCAAGUGUGAAACAUAAAGGAAUUGACGGGGGCCCGCACAAGCGGUGGAGUAUGUGGUUUAAUUCGACGCAACGCGAAGAACCUUACCAGGCCUUGACAUCCCUUGCAAAGCUGUAGAGAUACAGUAGAGGUUAUCAAGGAGACAGGUGGUGCAUGGUUGUCGUCAGCUCGUGUCGUGAGAUGUUGGGUUAAGUCC
rnacentral:rRNA from 1 species